AAAGAGAAGAAUAAAAGAAAACGCAUAGUUUUCAAACAGUUAAUAAAAAAAUGGUAUGGUAUAAAAAUAAAUACGCAUUAUUACAUAAAUAAGAAUGAACAAUGAUUUUCCGAAUAUUGAAUAAAUUGGAAAUGGUGUAGAUAAAAUUUGAAAAACACUGUGUGUUAUAUUGACCCGAAUAAAAAAAACGAGGGUAACGGAAUACGUCGUUAUGAUGUAACGCUGGGAAAUGUCAUAUUCUCUUAAGAAACUCUAUUUGAUUAUUAAAGGCUUUAAAAAACUGUUAAUAAUCAAAUAGAGUUUGUUAAGGCUACUUGGGUACUGACCGACAUCACGACAUCGGGUAUAUACGAGACGAUGAACCGAUUUUUAAGGAUGAAGAAGGAAGAUUUCUUCCAUUUACUGUCCCUUGUUGGUCCAAAAAUUGCGAAAAUGGACAAAGAUUUCCGCAAAGCAAUCACGGAACAGGAAAGGCUGCUGAUAACUGUAGGGAUCGAGAGCAGGAAGGAAAAUAAAUAUAUAUCAUAGAUUGGAAAAGUGCAAGUAACAACCAUUUAAUGAUGAUCAGAUAAUCAGAUAGGAACAUACAAAUAUAAGUUUAUUAAGUAGAAACAUGAAAACAGUUACGAUAGAAUAUCGAUUAACGAAAAGUAUCGGCGCAUUCAAAAUAAAAAUCAGGUUAAACGCAGAGAGAGUGAGAUAGCGAGAGGCGAUACAUCCGUUCGUACGGAAGUGUCAAAAUAGGAGGCUUUUCGAGGAGAGGAGGAAAAUCGUGAGUCUUGUAAUUGAUCUUAGCAAGAAUGGAUGCAACUGCUCGAUUGGACAGAAUAAAAAGCUGUUAUUAUUAAAAGUAGUAUUUCGGAAAUCACCACAAUAACAUUGCGGUAUCUUGCGACUGGAGAGACAUUUACCAGCCUCCAGUACGUGUUCCGGGUGUCGAGGCAUUCUAUCAGCAGAAUAGUUAAAGAGCCGUGCGCAUGUCUUAUCGAGGCUUUGCGGGAUUAUGUCAAGCUACCCUCUACCGAAGAAGAAUGGCUUGCAAUCUCAAGACGAUUUGAGCAGCGCUGGAGAUUUCCUCACGCAAUAGGUGCAAUCGAUGGGAAGCACUUUGAAAUUAUUUGCCCUCGUAAUAGCGGAUCCGAAUAUCACAACUAUCAAAAAUUGUUUAGUAUUGUAUUAAUGGUUGUGGUCGAUGCUGACUAUAACUUUUUAUGGGCAGAUGCUGGUGGUAAGGGAGGAAUAUCGGACGGUGGAAUAUUUAAAAACACACGGCUGUAUCACAAGCUAGAAAACGGCCAACUAAACAUUCCACCAGCAACGCCAUUGCAGGUCUUGUACCAAACCCCAGUCCCAUACUUUAUUCUCGGUGACAAGGCAUUUGCCUUUACCAAUUACUGCUUAAGACCGUACAGCGGGGUACAUCAUCCUGAUUCAGUGGAGCGUACAUUCAACAAAAUGCACUCUACUUGUCGUAUGCCAGUUGAAAAUUCGCUUGGAAUAUUAGCGAAUCGAUGGAGAGUGAUCAAAGGCAUACAACUGCAGCCGGAUGUUGCCAAAAGCAUUGUUUUGACAACAGUUUACUUGCACAAUUUUUUGCGCAAGCAUGCUUCGCGGGACACAUACACACCUCCGUCUGCAUUUGAUAGGGUUGUUCGCGGGCGACGUGUCGAUGGAGAUUGGAGAAGUGAAGGGGGCUUGACCGAUCUCCAAAACAUUGCUUCCCGACCUUCAGAAAAUCUUGCUGACAUAAGGAACCACAUUGCAAACCAUUUUAAACAUAAUCGUUCUACGUAAAUUCAUCCAACCAAUACCAUGGAUAUUAAAAUUAAUAAUAAAUUAUGAAAUCGCAAACACAACUA